AUGUGUCCACAUUGUAAAUGCAUAUAUGCCAUCACCCAAAAUGCUGCAUACAAUUUUGGGGCGUUCACAGACUCAAGAAGCUUUAUUAUUUAUCUUCUAGGAUAAAAGGAUUAGAAGUAUGGGCACUGGUAUUCUCCUUAGCAGUUCAAAUCCCGGCUCCACGAAUUACAGGCUUGUAAUGAGAAAACUCCCAUCAGCAGAAAAAAACAUAUUUCCUCCUCAGAUCUGAAUGGAUUCAAAAUCACUUCUCAGCAAAGAGCUGCCUGUCUCCCUCAAUUUCCAGGUGCUUUUCAGCAUUUUCCCUUUAAUUCUCAAACCUCGACUUCCAACAAAAUGAUCACAAUAGCUCCAAGGCACAGAAGAUGCUGACAUAACCACCCUCCUCCCUAAAAGCACCAGAAUCAGCAUUUUCCCACCGACUGACCAGAGCAACAUGCAGCCUGGAUCCAGUUGGGGCCCACCAUGCAGACAGAUGUCCAGGGUCGGAGCAAGCUCCGGCAAAGGGGCCUCUCUUCCCACUCUGAUGGUAGAUAUUUGUUUUUUGAUUUUCACUUUCCACUUUCCACAGCGCUUCCCAGAUUGGCUUUCUUUUAAUUAACCCAAAGCAGUCUCUAGUCGGCCACAUUAACUAAGGAAAAAGGGGCUGGGCAGUGUAUCCCUGGUUAAAUUUAUCUUGCUCUUUGUUUACUUGUUUACUCUCUCUCCUGCCCCACCCUCAUUAAAAUGUA